rnacentral:tRNA from 1 species
UCCCUGACGGCCUAGUGGUUAGGAUUCGGCACUUUCACUCCCGUGGACCGGGGUCAAUUCCUGGUCAGGGAA